UGCCAGCCGCCGCGGUAAUACGUACUGGGCGAACGUUAUUCGGAAUCACUGGGCUUAAAGGGUGCGUAGGCGGCUUUCCAGGUCUGGUGUGAAAUCUUACGGCUCAACCGUAAAAUUGCGCUGGAAACCGGAAGGCUUGAGUGUGCUAGGGGUGUGUGGAACUUCCAGUGGAGCGGUGAAAUGUGUUGAUAUUGGAAGGAACGCCGGUGGCGAAAGCGACACACUGGGGCACAACUGACGCUGAGGCACGAAAGCUAAGGUAGCGAACGGGAUUAGAUA
rnacentral:rRNA from 1 species